rnacentral:misc_RNA from 1 species
GAUGAAGAACGUAGCGAAAUGCGAUAAGUAAUGUGAAUUGCAGAAUUCAGUGAAUCAUCGAAUCUUUGAACGCACAUUGCGCCCGCCAGCACUCUGGCGGGCAUGCCUGUUCGAGCGUCAUUUCAACCAUCAAGCCCCCAGGGGCUUGUGCUGGGGCCCUGCGGCUGCCCGCAGGCCCUGAAAACCAGUGGCGGGCUCGCUAGUCACACCGAGCGCAGUAGCACAUCUCGCUCAGGGCGUGCGGCGGGCUCCUGCCGUGAAACCCCCCACUGUAACCCCAAAGGUUGACCUCGGAUCAGGUAGGAAUACCCGCUGAACUUAAGCAUACAAUAAGCGGAGGA